AAACAGAAUUCAAACACUGUUAUUCCAAGAUCAGCACACGGACAGUAUAUCAUUUUACAAGCCACACCCACAAGUGCUGAGAGGUUUACCUUGUCGAUCGAGUGCCAGCAAGACGUCACCAUGCAGCUUGAGGCCUUGUUUAACUUCGAAGGAGACGAGAAUGAAGUCCUUGUCACCAAACGCAUCAGCAACGUUUGGGACACUGAGUACCAAUGCUGCUGCGCUUUUCCCUUCACAGUCAACACGGCUUUCACAAUGAGGAUUAUGUUCACGACCACGGAUAUUGAGAUGACUGUAGGAGAUGGAGAUGAAUUCAGGUACACGCAGCCGCCUGUAAGCGGUUGCACAGAGGACAAACUUGUCUGGAGUCAUCUGACUGUCUCCACAAUGCACACCACGUGAACCAUCUCAUUUGGAUGUCAAUAUAGCUGACAAUCAAAAAAUGUGUCUUGACAAGUGACAGACCAAAUGACAAGACACUAACAAUUGACAGACAGAAUGACAAGACACUAACAAUUGACAGACAGAAUGACAAGACACUAACAAUUGACAUACCUAAGAUACUGAGAAUUGACAGACCUAAUGACAAGAUACUGAGAAUUGACAGACCUAAUGACAAGAUACUGAGAAUUGACAGACCGAAUGACAAGAUACUGACAAUUGACAGACCAAAUGACAAGAUACUAACAAAUGAUCGACCAAAUGACAAAAUACUGACAAUUGACAGACCAAAUGACAAGAUACUGACAAUUGACAGACCAAAUGUAGAGAUACAGACAAUUGACAUACAUAAUGCUGUUAUAUUGACAAUUGACUGACCGAAUAAUGUUUUUCUGCUGGGUAGAUGUAUUUAUAGAAAUGUUUUGGAAAGUCACUAGUAAAACUUCAUUUUUUAACACUGCGGAGUCCUAUUCGGUUGCCGCGUAUAAACGUUUAAGCGACUGCGUGAUAAAACUAACCAAAAUUAAGGUACAUAGUGUAAUUCUAAUUCAAAUAAUGAUUCGUGAAAGAAAUUGGACGUAGUUGUGUUAUCUACCAAAACAAUUUUCUUUUUCAUUAAAAACGAAGUAAUUAACUUUCUUUAAUAAGAAAAGGAUUACUUAAAAUUUACAAAUUAUUAUCUCAGUUAUGUCUGGGUUUUAAGUUAAAGGGUAAAAAAAUAGCCUUUUUACCACAGAGGUGUUUAGAAAAUAAUGGAGCGGAAAAAACUAGCUCCGGUAAAAUUUGAACAAAAACUCCGGGCUUAAAAAAUUAAAGAAUAAAUUUUUGAAAUAUUUAUUUGGCCAUUAAACAGGUGGAAUAUGCAUUUUCAGUUAGCUGCUUUUCUGUAGUUUACAGUUAGCUGCUUUUCUGUAGAUUAGCUUCCUUAGAGUCAGUUUCCGGGUAGUUAGGUUUCAAACAUAUUUUAUAACCAAUAACAAAAUAUUUUUUUAAAAAUUUAAUUGUUUAUAUUUAUUUACGGUAUAGGUCCUUUUUAUUCUAUUCUGUAUAUUCUAUCCUAUGGGUAUUCUUAAUUUUAACCACUUAUUUUAUAAUUAAUUCUAAUUAAUUUUAAAUAUAGUCUGAGCAAACUAAUUACAUUCCUACAUGCAUUCCUCCAAUAACAAGCAGACCCUAGAAUCAAUUAAUUCAACCCGCCUUUUCAAUAUUUACUAAAUGUAAACUAAACAGUCUUUUCUGUAUAGAUUUUUAAUAAUAUAAGGUAAAAUAACAACUGAAAGAAAAUUAAUUAUAGUGUUUAAAAUCUUGUGUGAGAAAAGUAAUUCUUCUUCGUCUAUCUUAAUUUUAAUUUUGGAAGGUAUUUUCUUCAACACUUAUGUGUCAAAACUUUAUGCGUUUUGUGUUUCGUUAAAUCUGAUUUCAAUAUGCUUUCCUAUCUGGACCCAUUUCCAUCUAAGAAUUUAACCUUUUUUCAUCGUCAUAGUGUAAAACGUUUAAAGUGCGCAUUGUCAAAUUAAUGAUUUAAAAAUUAAUAUUCAAAGUGUUGUAAGACAAUUUUCAUUUUUUAAACUUAUAAUGACAAUUUUUGGCAUGUUAAUCAAACAAAACUUUUAAAAAAUGUAUCACCUUUCACAAAAAAAUAAUUAUGUCUGAAAGUAAUUUACAUUUAGUUAUUUAGCACCCAUUACGUCACCUGAUACAUUAGGCGAAUACAAUUACUUCCCUUUAUAAUAAACAUUACAUAAGGUGGAAACAAUUAUUUUUAUUAUUUUGUUUUGGUGUUGGGAAAAAAAAAACAAUUUACAUAAUUAGCAGGGAUUGAUCAAGUGCAAUGUGGUAUGAAUUUCAAAUAGUGCCUUUAGUUUAUUUUAUACACUGGACGUACUGUUUACUAAUUAUUUUUGAAUCAAUAACAGUUAAGAAGCCAGCCCCUAAAUGCCCUCUAUGUUUACUUCUUUCCGUUUGCGGAUGAGCUUGGGGUAUUAUAAUUGUUCACUAAAUUAAAACAAGCGAGUCCGCCGGCGCCCUGGCACGGCUCGAUUUGGCAACCUGUGCUAUCCUAUAAGCGCUACGGUGCACAAUUUCUUUUUAAACAUUGCGAUAGACUAUGGAUAAGAUGGGUUACUAUAGUCUUUAAGUAAAUCAAAUCCGGCAUUCUGACAGGGUGCUAUUUGGUGCCCCGGGCCUUCCCUUGUUCGCUAUGGCGCUUACAUUCGGUUAAGCGAGUGCAAAAGGCUAUGAAUAAGUUGGGGUACUAUAGUCGUUUGCUAACUUGAAUCAGGUGGUUCCGCCGGCGCCCCGGGCUAGACUGUCAGCACUUUGAGUUUAUGUUUGCGUUUGUAUUUUAUUUGUGUUUGGGUUGGGUUGGCGUUUGUAGUUGGGUUUGUUUUGAUUUGUUUUGUUUUCGUUUGCUUUUUGUUUUCUUUGUGUUUGUAUUUGUGUUUGUGUUUGUGUUUGCAUUUUUGUUAUGUUUGCGUUUUUUUGUUUUGCAUUUUGGUUUUUGCUGGUUCUGGUUAGGGUGGGCGAUGCCGGGUAUGUGCUGAUUACUAAACACACAUGUCGUGGUCAUUUAAAGAUAGGUUUUUCACAGAGGCGAACGCAGGGUCU